CACCGCCUGGGGAGUACGACCGCAAGGUUAAAACUCAAAUGAAUUGACGGGGACCCGCACAAGUAGUGGAGCAUGUGGUUUAAUUCGAAGAUACGCGCAGAACCUUACCAACACUUGACAUGUUCGUCGCGACUUUAAGAGAUUAAAGUUUUCGGUUCGGCCGGACGAAACACAGGUGCUGCAUGGCUGUCGUCAGCUCGUGUCGUGAGAUGUUGGGUUAAGUCCCGCAACGAGCGCAACCCUCACUUUUAGUUGCCAUCAUUUAGUUGGGCACUCUGAAAGAACUGCCAGUGAUAAGCUGGAGGAAGGUGGGGAUGACGUCAAGUCCUCAUGGCCCUUACGUGUUGGGCUACACACGUGCUACAAUGGUAUCUACAACAGGAAGCAAAACGGCGACGUUAAGCAAAUCCUUAAAAGAUACCUCAGUUCGGAUUGCACUCUGCAACUCGAGUGCAUGAAGCUGGAAUUACUAGUAAUCGUGGAUCAGCGUGCCACGGUGAAUGCGUUCCCGGGUCUUGUACACACCGCCCGUCACACCAUGGGAGUUGGUUCUACCUUAAGGCAAGGUUUAAAAUCCUUGACCACGGUAUAGUCAGCGACUGGGGUGAAGUCGUAACAAGGUAGCCGUAGGGGAACCUGCGGCUGGAUUACCUCCUUUCUAAGGAUGAAUAAAAAUUAAAUUUUUAUUCUAAAUAAUAUACAUAGGUAAUGUUGACCGUCCUCAUUUCUCUUCUUAUUUAUUAGUGUUUCUCUUGCAUGGGGGCCGGUAGCUCAGUUGGUUAGAGCACACCCUUGAUAAGGGUGGGGUCGAAAGUUCGAGUCUUUCUCGGCCCACCAAUUAAAGAUUAUUUUUAAGUUAAGGGGGAUUAGCUCAGCUGGGAGAGCGCCUGAUUUGCAUUCAGGAGGUCAGCGGUUCGAUCCCGCUAUCCUCCACCAGAAACACUUAGUUAUAUAAAAUUGUAAAUAAAAUUAAUUAAUAUCAAUAUCUAUAUCCGAACAUUAGUAAUGUUAUUAGCUAAUGUUCAAAUAAAAAUUUGAUUCAACACAGAAUUUUUUUCUG
rnacentral:sRNA from 1 species